rnacentral:rRNA from 1 species
CCUACGGGCGGCAGCAGUGAGGAAUAUUGGUCAAUGGCCGGAAGGCUGAACCAGCCAAGCCGCGUGAAGGACGAAGGUGCCAAGCAUUGUAAACUUCUUUUGUCAAGGGACAAAAUCAGGCUCGAGAGCCUGACCGAGGGUACUUGAAGAAAAAGCAUCGGCUAACUCCGUGCCAGCAGCCGCGGUAAUACGGAGGAUGCGAGCGUUAUCCGGAUUUAGUGGGGUUAAAGGGGGCGUAGGCGGACUUUUAAGUCAACGGUAAAAGCCCGGGGCUCAACCCCGGCGAGCCGUUGAGACUGGCUGUCUUGAGAUGUCGAGAGGUAUGCGGAAUGCGCAGUGUAGCGGUGAAAUGCUUAGAUAUUGCGCAGAACUCCGAUUGCGAAGGCAGCAUACCGGCGGCGAUCUGACGCUGAGGCACGAAAGCGUGGGUAUCGAACAGGAUUAGAUACCCCUGUAGUC